rnacentral:rRNA from 1 species
GACAGAGGGUGCAAACGUUGUUCGGAAUUACUGGGCGUAAAGCGCGUGUAGGCGGUCUUCUAAGUCGGAUGUGAAAGCCCCGGGCUCAACCCGGGAAGUGCACUCGAAACUGGAAGGCUAGAGUAUCGGAGAGGUUGGUGGAAUUCUCGGUGUAGAGGUGAAAUUCGUAGAUAUCGAGAGGAACACCGGUGGCGAAGGCGGCCAACUGGACGAAUACUGACGCUGAGACUCGAAAGCGUGGGGAGCAAACAGG